AUGACAGCGAUGAGGAUGCUUGCAUACGGAGCUCCCGGUGAUUCACUCGACGACUAUGGGCGCAUGGCCGAGUCCACCACCAUUGAGUGUUUCAACAAGUUCUGUCGGGCAGUGGUGGCAGUGUUUGGACCGCAAUACUUGCGAACACCCAAUGCGGAAGACACUGCUCGGAUCCUAGCACAGAAUGCAGCAAGAGGAUUUUCUGGGAUGCUUGGAAGCAUCGACUACAUGUAUUACAAAUGGAAGAACUGCCCAUUUGCUUGGCAGGGGAUGUACAAAGGCGCCAAAGGCGGGUGCAGUGUGGUACUUGAGGCGGUGGCCACACAGGACCUCUGGAUUUGGCACUCCUUCUUUGGUAUGCCAGUAACUCACAAUGACAUCAACGUGCUGCAGUGCUCCCCUGUCUUUGCCAAGCUUGUUGAAGGUCAUUCUCCUCCGGUGAACUUCGAGGUCAAUGGACGACACUACAACAAGGGGUACUACCUAGCUGAUGGCAUCUAUCCGAGAUGGUCUACAUUUGUGAAGACUAUCUCAAACGAUAUGCCAGGAGGCAAGAAGUCCCACUUUGCCAAGGUGCAGGAGGCUUGCCGGAAGGAUGUCGAGCGGGCAUUUGGUGUGCUCCAAUCUCGAUUUGCUGUUGUUCGGUACCCUGCUCAAACCUGGUCGAAAGAUCAAAUGUAG
rnacentral:rRNA from 1 species